UACAGAGGUCCCAAGCGUUGUUCGGAUUCACUGGGCGUAAAGGGUGCGCAGGCGGUCCUGCAAGUCAGGCGUGAAAUCCCCGGGCUUAACCUGGGAAUGGCACUUGAAACUACGGGACUGGAGUAUGGCAGAGGGAGGUGGAAUUCCACGUGUAGCGGUGAAAUGCGUAGAGAUGUGGAGGAACACCGAUGGCGAAGGCAGCCUCCUGGGCCAAUACUGACGCUCAUGCACGAAAGCGUGGGGAGCAAACAGG
rnacentral:rRNA from 1 species